CCUACGGGAGGCUGCAGUGGGGAAUAUUGGACAAUGGGCGAAAGCCUGAUCCAGCCAUGCCGCGUGUGUGAAGAAGGCCUUCGGGUUGUAAAGCACUUUCAGUGGGGAAGAAAGCCUUGGGGCUAAUACCCUCGAGGAAGGACAUCACCCACAGAAGAAGCACCGGCUAACUCCGUGCCAGCAGCCGCGGUAAUACGGAGGGGUGCGAGCGUUAAUCGGAAUUACUGGGCGUAAAGCGCGCGUAGGCGGUCUGAUAAGCCGGUUGUGAAAGCCCCGGGCUCAACCUGGGAACGGCAUCCGGAACUGUCAGGCUAGAGUGCAGGAGAGGAAGGUAGAAUUCCCGGUGUAGCGGUGAAAGGCGUAGAGAUCGGGAGGAAUACCAGUGGCGAAGGCGGCCUUCUGGACUGACACUGACGCUGAGGUGCGAAAGCGUGGGUAGCAAACAGGAUAAGAAACCCCGGUAGC
rnacentral:rRNA from 1 species